GAUGAACGCUGGCGGCGUGCUUAACACAUGCAAGUCGAACGGUGAACGAGGGAGCUUGCUCCCUCCGGAUCAGUGGCGAACGGGUGAGUAACACGUGAGCAAUCUGCCCUGGACUCUGGGAUAAGCGUUGGAAACGACGUCUAAUACCGGAUACGAGACGCGAAGGUAUCUUCAGCGUCUGGAAAGAACUUCGGUCCAGGAUGAGCUCGCGGCCUAUCAGGUAGUUGGUGAGGUAACGGCCCACCAAGCCUACGACGGGUAGCCGGCCUGGGAGGGUAAACGGGGAAACUGGGACUGGGACACGGCCCAGACGCCGACUGGAGGCAGCAGUGGGGAAUAUUGCACAAUGGGCGCAAGCCUGAUACAGAAACGCCGCGUGAGGGACGACGGCCGUCGGGUUGUAAACCUCUUUGAGCAGGGAAGAAGCGAAAGUGACGGUACCUGCAGAAAAAGCACCGGCUAACUACGUGCCAGCCGCCGCCGUAAGAC
rnacentral:rRNA from 1 species